CCAUGCGCAGUGCCGGGAAGAGCCUUUCAGGAAGGUGGACUCCAAGGAGCUGGCCCUUCCCGGGAAGCUGGGCUCUUAACCCCGUCGAGGGGCCACAGGCAUGGAAGACGGUGGAAACGCUUUCCAGUACUGGGGGAGAGCAGUGGGCGGAACCGCCAGCCACGCAAGCCCCGGCC
rnacentral:lncRNA from 1 species